CAGUAGCCGCGGUAAUACCGAGGGUGCGAGCGUUAAUCGGAUUUACUGGGCGUAAAGCGUGCGUAGGCGGCUUUUUAAGUCGGAUGUGAAAUCCCUGAGCUUAACUUAGGAAUUGCAUUCGAUACUGGGAAGCUAGAGUAUGGGAGAGGAUGGUAGAAUUCCAGGUGUAGCGGUGAAAUGCGUAGAGAUCUGGAGGAAUACCGAUGGCGAAGGCAGCCAUCUGGCCUAAUACUGACGCUGAGGUACGAAAGCAUGGGGAGCAAACAGGAUUAGAUACCCCUGUAGUCCCUGUCUCUUAUAC
rnacentral:rRNA from 1 species